GGAAGGCUACACUCGUUCGCUCU
rnacentral:siRNA from 1 species